AGCGGGUUUAAAUUAAAAGGUUCUUCCUUUUGUUUGGGCCCGGACUUGAACUUGAAGCCCGAAUUUUAUUGUUGAUUUAUUAGGAUUUUUUAUAUUUUAGAGACAAAACGAAAAUAGAAAAAUCAGUGGCUUUUAGGUUUGCCUUUUAAAAAAUAAAAUGAGACGAGCCUCGCCAAAUCGAAUACAAAAUUACAGGCCCUCAGUAAAAGCUAAAAAUACUUAGAGAUUCGGGAGGGUCAUUAAGCGAAUUUCACGGGCUUCCCCAAAAUAACAAUGCGCU
rnacentral:lncRNA from 1 species